GGGAUGUUGUUAUGCACUGGAUUUAAAGAGAGGUUUGGUGAUGAGCCAAACCUUUU
rnacentral:ncRNA from 1 species